rnacentral:tRNA from 1 species
GUAGAUGUAGCUCAGUGGUAGAGUGUUGGCCUAGCAUAUGUGAGGCCCUGGGUUUGAUCCCCAGCAUCACA